rnacentral:lncRNA from 1 species
UUUUACUCUUUACAAAUGUAUUCUUAUUAGUUUGAAUCUUUCUUUGAAUGCAAGAAUAGGCUUUAUGUCCACUUUUCCCACAAUAAAAGCAUGUAGGUUUUUCAGUUUUGACAUCUUUUGCUUUUACAAAAAAGUUCUUUAGAUAUUUUUGUUGUUUGCUAGUUUUGUAUCCUAAUCCGGCUUUAUUAAAAACAGCUCUUUGAUUGGAUAGAAUAAGAUUUAAUUUUUCAGAGCUAUGUGUAAAUUU